CUUCUGGUUGACGAGAUUUUUAUCCCUCAUCAAUCGGAAGGGAUUCCUUUGGUCCAAUGAGAUCAGUAUACCUCAUCAACCAGAAGGGAUUCCUUCAACUCAAGUUAAUGAGGUACAACAAUCCCAUUGGCCAGAAGAAAUCCCUUCUGGUUGAUGAGGUAUACAACAACCUCAUCAACCAGAAG
rnacentral:miRNA from 1 species